GACGAACGCUGGCGGCGUGCCUAAUACAUGCAAGUCGAGCGGACUUAAAAAGCUUGCUUUUUAAGUUAGCGGCGGACGGGUGAGUAACACGUGGGCAACCUGCCUGUAAGACUGGGAUAACUUCGGGAAACCGGAGCUAAUACCGGAUAAUCCUUUCCUACUCAUGUAGGAAAGCUGAAAGACGGUUUACGCUGUCACUUACAGAUGGGCCCGCGGCGCAUUAGCUAGUUGGUGAGGUAACGGCUCACCAAGGCGACGAUGCGUAGCCGACCUGAGAGGGUGCUCGGCCACACUGGGACUGAGACACGGCCCAGACUCCGACGGGAGGCAGCAGUAGGGAAUCUUCCGCAAUGGACGAAAGUCUGACGGAGCAACGCCGCGUGAGUGAUGAAGGUUUUCGGAUCGUAAAACUCUGUUGUUAGGGAAGAACAAGUACGAGAGUAACUGCUCGUACCUUGACGGUACCUAACCAGAAAGCCACGGCUAACUACGUGCCAGCCGCCGCAGUAA
rnacentral:rRNA from 1 species